rnacentral:rRNA from 1 species
UGCGUAGGGGGCAAGCGUUGUCCGGAUUUAUUGGGCGUAAAGAGCGUGUAGGCGGCCAGGUAGGUGGGUUGUGAAAACUGGAGGCUCAACCUUCAGACGUCGACCCAAACCCCCUGGCUAGAGUCCGGAAGAGGAGAGUGGAAUUCCUGGUGUAGCGGCGAAAUGCGCAGAUAUCAGGAAGAACACCCGUGGCGAAGGCGGCUCUCUGGGACGGUACUGACGCUGAGACGCGAAAGCGUGGGGAGCGAACAGG